rnacentral:rRNA from 1 species
AUACAGAGGUCUCAAGCGUUGCGCGGAAUUACAGGGCUUAAAGGGUGCGUAGGCGGACCAGCAAGUGUCUUGUGAAAGCCCACGGCUUAACCGUGGAAUUGCUCGGCAGACUGCACGCCUUGAGGUCGGCAGAGGCUGCCGGAACUCUAGGUGUAGCGGUGAAAUGCGUAGAUAUCUAGAGGAACGCCAAAGGUGAAGACAGGCAGCUGGGCCGAAUCUGACGCUGAGGCACGAAAGCGUGGGUAGCGAACGGGAUUAGAUACCCGGGUAGUCC